GGAGUGACGCCACUGGUGAAAGUGUGACAGUUUGGGCAAGAAGCGAGAACACGUGGAAAGAGGAGUGUCUAGGUGGAGCAUUCCUGGGUGAGAUGUGAAACAGAGUUUCCUAAACACAUGGAAAUUUGGAAAUUGAACCAGGGUCACACAUGUUUUGUACAAGUGGAAGUUUGAGCAUGUUACUGCAUGAGUAGCGGGAGUUUCGUCCGUGUAGUAUCUACAUACUUAUUCCUGCAACCCAGUAAGGAAACAGUCAAGACAUCCCGAGACUGCAUCUGAAGGCAUUCCAUGGCAACACCUGAUCUGCAAAUGUCCCUCUUGAAGCUGUGCUGCUGGACAGGAGAAAGGUCUCUUCCUGUGACGUUUAUUUUGGAAUAUUCAUCAGCUAAGG